UACAGAGGGGGCAAGCGUUGUUCGGAAUUACUGGGCGUAAAGGGCGCGUAGGCGGCCAACUAAGUCAGACGUGAAAUCCCUCGGCUCAACCGGGGAACUGCGUCUGAUACUGGAUGGCUUGAAUUCGGGAGAGGGAUGCGGAAUUCCAGGUGUAGCGGUGAAAUGCGUAGAGAUCUGGAGGAAUACCGGUGGCGAAGGCGGCAUCCUGGACCGGCAUUGACGCUGAGGAGCGAAAGCUAGGGGAGCAAACGGGG
rnacentral:rRNA from 1 species